UACGUAGGGGGCUAGCGUUGUCCGGAAUCAUUGGGCGUAAAGAGCGCGUAGGCGGCCAGAUAAGUCCGGUGUGAAAGUCACAGGCUCAACCUGUGAAUGCCGCUGGAAACUGUCUGGCUAGAGUCCGGAAGGGGCGAGUGGAAUUCCUGGUGUAGCGGUGGAAAUGCGCAGAUAUCAGGAGGAACACCAAUGGCGAAGGCAGCUCGCUGGGACGGUACUGACGCUGAGGCGCGAAAGCGUGGGGAGCAAACAGG
rnacentral:rRNA from 1 species